rnacentral:rRNA from 1 species
CCUACGGGGGGCUGCAGUGAGGAAUAUUGGUCAAUGGACGAGAGUCUGAACCAGCCAAGUAGCGUGAAGGAUGACUGCCCUCUGGGUUGUAAACUUCUUUUAUAUGGGAAUAAAAUGUUCCACGUGUGGGAUUUUGUAUGUACCAUAUGAAUAAGGAUCGGCUAACUCCGUGCCAGCAGCCGCGGUAAUACGGAGGAUCCGAGCGUUAUCCGGAUUUAUUGGGUUUAAAGGGAGCGUAGGUGGAUUGUUAAGUCAGUUGUGAAAGUUUGCGGCUCAACCGUAAAAUUGCAGUUGAAACUGGCAGUCUUGAGUACAGUAGAGGUGGGCGGAAUUCGUGGUGUAGCGGUGAAAUGUUUAGAUAUCACGAAGAACUCCGAUUGCGAAGGCAGUUCACUGGACUGCAACUGACACUGAGGCUCGAAAGUGUGGGUAUCAAACAGGAUUAGAUACCCUGGUAGUC